rnacentral:lncRNA from 1 species
UUAGGAGGGUAAGUGUAUGGCAAAUUUAUGGUGGGGUAGGUGAAAGUUCCUUCGGAUGAAAUGAUGAAGGGUGGAGUAAAAGUGGUUUGGGUCAUGGGCAUGACCAAUGAUUCUGGCCCCGAUUGACUGACGAGUCCAGGCUCGGGUUGAACUCCGCUACUGAUAAGCUCAUCGAUUAAUUUCUUUUGGGCGGCCAUUUCAGAUGCCAUCUCACCAAACUUCGUGAGCAUCUCGGUCAGUUGGACCCCCAAACUUGCAGUCUCAGGUUGGGCUGUAGUAGCAGACUUAUCCGACAAUUCCGGUUGCGAACUCAUGUUUACACGAUUCCUCUGGGAUUGAUUACGGGAUCGCGUUAUGAUGGGGCUUCGACGAGAAGCUAUGUUUAAAUAAUCCCUGAGAAUUUUGAAAGAUUAUCUUUAGAUUGAGCCUUCGCUUGGCUAUUCCAAUAAAAAAAAGAAAAGAAAAA